rnacentral:tmRNA from 1 species
GGGGGCGAUUUGGCUUCGACGUGGAUCGCGAAACCCAAGGUGCAUGCCGAGGUGCGGAUAACCUCGUAAAACCAUUCGCAAAUUCAUAGUUGCCAACGAAGACAACUACGCACUCGCCGCUUAAAACCCGGUAGGGUGCCCUCGGCCCAAUGUGUGCUUGUACGCUUGGUCAACCGGGGUCGACUCAUACAAGCUCGCCAUGAAGCUCGUUUGGGGUGGAUUGGUUAAAACCUAAACCAAACUCGCCGUAUGUUUUCCCUGCCCGUCGGGUAGCAUGCGGUUAAAUGAAUAGACCGGGAUAAGCAUGUAGAGCCGAAGGCAGAGGAUUUGCGGACGCGGGUUCGAUCCCCGCCGCCUCCACCA